rnacentral:rRNA from 1 species
GCCGAGCGGUAGAGAUUCUUCGGGAUCUUGUGAGCGGCGUACGGGUGCGGAACACGUGUGCAACCUGCCUUUAUCAAGGGGAUAGCCUUUCGAAAGGAAGAUUAAUACCCUAUAAUAUAUGAUUCGGCAUCGGAUUAUAUUGAAAACUACGGUGGAUAAAGAUGGGCACGCGCAAGAUUAGCUAGUUGGUGAGGUAACGGCUCACCAAGGCGACGAUCUUUAGGGGGCCUGAGAGGGUGAUCCCCCACACUGGUACUGAGACACGUACCAGACUCCUACGGGAGGCAGCAGUGAGGAAUAUUGGACAAUGGGUGCAAGCCUGAUCCAGCCAUCCCGCGUGUAGGAAGACGGCCCUAUGGGUUGUAAACUACUUUUAUCUGGGGAUAAACCUACUUACGUGUAAGUAGCUGAAGGUACCAGAUGAAUAAGCACCGGCUAACUCCGUGCCAGCAGCCGCGGUAAUACGGAGGGUGCAAGCGUUAUCCGGAUUUAUUGGGUUUAAAGGGUCCGUAGGCGGACUGCCAAGUCAGUGGUGAAAUCCGACAGCUUAACUGUCGAACUGCCAUUGAUACUGUUAGUCUUGAGUCAGGUUGAAGCUCCUGGAAUAAGUAGUGUAGCGGUGAAAUGCAUAGAUAUUACU